rnacentral:misc_RNA from 1 species
GAUGAGAACGCAGCGAAAUGCGAUAAGUAAUGUGAAUUGCAGAAUUCAGUGAAUCAUCGAAUCUUUGAACGCACAUUGCGCCCGCCAGUAUUCUGGCGGGCAUGCCUGUCCGAGCGUCAUUUCAACCCUCGAACCCCUCCGGGGGUCCGGCGUUGGGGAUCGGGAACCCCUAAGACGGGAUCCCGGCCCCGAAAUACAGUGGCGGUCUCGCCGCAGCCUCUCAUGCGCAGUAGUUUGCACAACUCGCACCGGGAGCGCGGCGCGUCCACGUCCGUAAAACACCCAACUUCUGAAAUGUUGACCUCGGAUCAGGUAGGAAUACCCGCUGAACUUAAGCAUAUCAAUAAGCGAAGGA